UGCCGAUAAAUAGGCGUCCGGGUCAUCAUCUCAUCCCAGCUAUUGCCCUUCGCACACCUGUCGUCUCUACUCAUCACUUCCCUCUCUUCACUCUGGUUUACUCCUGUGUUUCCGCCGCACAUCCGGGCGAAAUGGCAGGAGGAGGCGAUAACUCCCAGACGAACGGAGGAGCUCAGGAGCAGCGCGCCAUGGAGGAAGGGAGGAAGGAUGACUAUGACCAGGGCUGCGGCCUCGCCAUCUCUCUCCCCUUCGUCCAGAAGAUCAUCGCCGAGAUUUUCGGGACCUACUUCCUCAUCUUCGCGGGGUGCGGCGCGGUGACCAUCAACAAGAGCAAGGGGCAGAUCACGUUCCCCGGCGUGGCCAUCGUGUGGGGCCUCGCCGUGAUGGUGAUGGUGUACUCCGUCGGCCACAUCUCCGGCGCGCACUUCAACCCGGCCGUCACCUUCGCGUUCGCCACCGUGCGCCGCUUCCCGUGGCGGCAGGUGCCGGCGUACGUGCUGGCGCAGAUGCUGGGGGCCACGCUGGCCAGCGGCACGCUCCGGCUCAUGUUCGGCGGGCGCCACGAGCACUUCCCCGGCACGCUCCCCACCGGGUCCGACGUCCAGUCGCUCGUCCUCGAGUUCAUCAUCACCUUCUACCUCAUGUUCGUCAUCUCCGGCGUCGCCACCGACAACAGAGCCAUAGGGGAGCUGGCAGGGCUGGCCGUGGGUGCAACCAUCCUGCUUAAUGUGCUGAUAGCUGGGCCGGUGUCGGGGGCGUCGAUGAACCCGGCGAGGACGGUGGGGCCGGCGUUGAUCGGGAGCGAGUACAGGUCGAUCUGGGUGUACGUGGUGGGGCCGGUGGCCGGAGCCGUGGCCGGGGCGUGGGCGUACAACCUCAUCCGCUUCACCAACAAGCCCCUGCGCGAGAUCACCAAGAGCACCUCCUUCCUCAGGAGCAUGAGCAGGAUGAACUCCGUCUCCGUCUGAUUCCUUAAUUAUUACUAGCAACGUCGUUGUAUUACUACUACAAGGCUAUGUAAUCGCCGUCAUCGUGGCCAUAUAUCCAUGGCGUAUCGAGUGGGCUACACUCUACUCCUCUAGUGGUCUUGGCCUAACUGAACCUGCGAGAGUAUGUAUAUGUGGAAAAAGUUGUGUUUUGGAACCAUGUGUGGUGGAAUUCGCCUGGCGAGAGUGUUUGUCAAGGGUGACGACGGAGACAGGCGCACGUCGGAUUGAUGGUAGUAGCUUAAUUAACUCCGUGCAGUUGUUGUUUUAGCAGGUGAAUGAAUGCACUUUUGUUUCUUCCAAAUGCUAUAGAACUUAGGUUAGUUCUAAGCCGUUUUUGCGUGAACACCUUGUGGCAGCGUGUUUGCUGGAAAGAACAUUGGGAGGAAACAUCUGGACA